AGUGGGGGAUAACGCUCGGAAACGGACGCUAAUACCGCAUACGUCCUACGGGAGAAAGCAGGGGACCUUCGGGCCUUGCGCUAUCAGAUGAGCCUAGGUCGGAUUAGCUAGUUGGUGAGGUAAUGGCUCACCAAGGCGACGAUCCGUAACUGGUCUGAGAGGAUGAUCAGUCACACUGGAACUGAGACACGGUCCAGACUCCUACGGGAGGCAGCAGUGGGGAAUAUUGGACAAUGGGCGAAAGCCUGAUCCAGCCAUGCCGCGUGUGUGAAGAA
rnacentral:rRNA from 1 species